CCGAAACCGGAAAUACGAGGGCAUUAUUAGAGGGUUGGGCUUUUAGGCCCACCCCCUAACUUCCGGGGAGGGGAGAGGGGCUAAAGAUCAAUUUGAUCACAGAUGGCCAAUGGUUUAAUCAAUCAUGCCUACGUAAAAACCUGCGUAAAAGCCUCAAGAGACCUUGGGGGAACUUCCAGGCACAUGGAACUUCCUGAAGGGUGGAGCUUGUGGACGGCGGGGAACUCUGUGUGCCUCUCCCCAUGCCUGGCCUUACGCACCUCUUCAUUAAUAUUAGAACCACUUUGUCAAAAUAUUUUGUGCUUUAAUGAGGUUCACCUCAGAGGGGCCACCCAGACAAUGUCACAACUCAUGGAAGAUGAAGUACAUCAAACAGCCCAAACCUUAGAUAAGGGACAAACAAAUCAUUCUAGUUGCUAUGGUAGCUGAUAACAGAUUAGCAUUAGUCUACCUACUGGCAUCUCAAAGUAGAGUUUGUGCCUUGAAGGAAACCUCCUACUGCAUGUGGAUCAACAACACAGGAAGGGUCUCCAGAAGAGCUCAGUGAAUAAAACAACAAACCAAAAGUCAAUAUUAUGACUCUAAGAGAUUCCCUGGAUUCCAUUGUUUUCUUCUCCUGGAUGUCUCCUUCUGCCUAGGGCAACUCCCCACUGUCUCUCAGGGACCUAUGAUAAUAAUUGCUAUUUUAAUAGUAAUACUCAUUAUUACUAUUAUUUUUGGUUGGCUUCGCAAAUUUGGUCUCUCUGAAAUACAAGUUUAUUUGUAGGAAACUGGGAGGUUGCUGUGCUAACUCAAAUAUCAUAGAUGAAUUGUAAAGACAAUAGGUAAGAAAUAGGAAAGAAACAUGGACUCCUAGUUGACAUUUGACUUAGUGCCACUAAAGGCUAAGUCUCAUCUCCCACCUGUGCCUGUCAACUCCUGCAUAAUAAGGUUCUCAGUCUUCUGCUCUGCCCCUUAAGUUCAUGGGCAGUCUUACUGCCUUUUUUAAACUUCACAAUAGAGGGUUCUCUUCCCUCCCUCAGGACUUCUCCUUUAUAAAAUUCUUGUGUACUCACUACCCUCUCUCUUCUGGACCUCCCCCAGGAGACUGAUCCCCUGUACCCCUUGCCUUGGGACUUCCCCAUCUAUCAAAACAAUGGCUCCAUGAAGUUAUCACAUCCUAAUUUACAGAACCUGUGAAUAUGUCACCUUGCAAGACAGAAGAGACAUUGCAGAUGCGAUUAAGGUUACAUAUUUCAUCUGGGAGUUUUUAACAUUGGCACAAAUCUCCAAAGAAUUUUCCAAUGUAUUUAUCUUAAAAAAAUCUGCCUACAAGUGUACCCGCUUACAGGAUCAAGGGUCAACCGUGCCACAUUCACAAGUUUCAGAGGGGAAACUUACUGACCAAGGAAACUUCUUACCAAAAGAAACACAGUUGUUUCUGUUUCCUCAUUAUCUAUUGUACACAAGAUGACUGAAGAAGGCAACCACAUCUGAGUGGACUUUUCUGCAAGAUAAUGCUGACUCUUGGGCUCAUUCAAAUUCCAAAUAAAUCAUUUACAAGAUGA